GUCCUACAUCAAGUCUAAAGCAAUGCUGAAAAUAAUGGAGAACCCCAAUAACUUGCCUUUCCCACAAGUCACCAUCUUCCUCAGACCGAGAAGCAGAUAGAGAUGGUGAGGGUAGGAGAAGCAGAUCAGCGGCACCCGACUUGGCAGCACCAGUCUUGGCGUCGCCGGCUUGGAAUGGCAGAUCACUGCUGUUUUUAGAGCCAAAUGCAUGAUCGCGAGGGAGACCAGCGUUGUCUGACCGAGAAGCAGUUCGCGAGGGAGUCUGGCAGAAUCAGAACCGUGGAUGAACGCUGACCACGGCGACGGACAAGCGUAUGUGGGCACGCAUCGAUGACGAUGUCAGUUGCGACGGGGCGUCCAAGGAUUGGGGUAGCGGAUCGCAGAGCGCGGCGGUGGCGGCGGCGAUGACGGCUUGGAGGAGACGGUUGCCGAGUGGUCACGGUGAAGGCAGUUCUAUUCUCACGCGUGCUAAGGUCAGAGGAGCUAAUAGGGAUCAUAUGAGA